AGCAGCCGCGGUAAUUCCAGCUCCAAUAGCGUAUAUUAAAGUUGUUGCAGUUAAAAAGCUCGUAGUUGAACUUCGGGGUUUACCCAUUGGUCAGGCUUAAUUGUCUGUACUGGUGAGAUGAAUCUCUACCUUCUGAGGAACUUUCAUGCCAUUUAUUUGGUGUGAUGGGAAAUCAGGACUGUUACUUUGAAAAAUUAGAGUGUUUAAAGCAGGCUAACGUCUGAAUACAUUAGCAUGGAAUAAUGAAAUAGGACGGACUGAUUCUAUUUCGUUGGUUUCUAGGAUCACCGUAAUGAUUAAUAGGGAUAGUUGGGGGCAUUAGUAUUCAAUUGUCAGAGGUGAAAUUCUUGGAUUUAUUGAAGACUAACUACUGCGAAAGCAUUUGCCAAGGAUGUUUUCAUUAAUCAAGAACGAAAGUUAGGGGAUCGAAGACGAUCAGAUACCGUCGUAGUCUUAACCAUA
rnacentral:rRNA from 1 species